UGUCUUCUGAAUCCGUGUCGAGAUUUCAUCAGACACCAGGCUAUCAGUAUUGAUGAGACUCCCAAGAUAAGGGAACU
rfam:Schistosoma curassoni strain Dakar, Senegal genome assembly, scaffold: SCTD_scaffold0003387